UGCGUAGGCGGACUUGUAGGUCAGGUGUGAAGUCCCACGGCUCAACCGUGGAAUUGCGCUUGAAACCACUCGUCUUGAGGGGAUCAGAGGAGAGCGGAACUGAUGGUGGAGCGGUGAAAUGCGUUGAUAUUAUCAGGAACACCGGUGGCGAAAGCGGCUCUCUGGGAUCCUUCUGACGCUGAGGCACGAAAGCUAGGGGAGCGAACAGGAUUAGAUACCCUGGUAGUCC
rnacentral:rRNA from 1 species